UACGGAAGGUGCAAGCGUUGCUCGGAAUCACUGGGCGUAAAGGGUGCGUAGGCGGCCGUGCAAGUCUGGCGUGAAAGCCCCGGGCUCAGCCCGGGAAGUGCGCUCGAAACUGCGGGGCUCGAGUGCGGGAGGGGAGAGUGGAAUUCCUGGUGUAGCGGUGAAAUGCGUAGAUAUCAGGAGGAAUACCGGUGGCGAAAGCGACUCUCUGGACGGAAACUGACGCUGAGGCACGAAAGCGUGGGGAGCGAACAGG
rnacentral:rRNA from 1 species